rnacentral:rRNA from 1 species
AUGAACGCUGGCGGCGUGCCUAAUACAUGCAAGUCGAGCGAACAGACGAGGAGCUUGCUCCUCUGACGUUAGCGGCGGACGGGUGAGUAACACGUGGAUAACCUACCUAUAAGACUGGGAUAACUUCGGGAAACCGGAGCUAAUACCGGAUAAUAUAUUGACCCGCAUGGUUCAAUAGUGAAAGACGGUUUUGCUGUCACUUAUAGAUGGAUCCGCGCCGCAUUAGCUAGUUGGUAAGGUAACGGCUUACCAAGGCAACGAUGCGUAGCCGACCUGAGAGGGUGAUCGGCCACACUGGAACUGAGACACGGUCCAGACUCCUACGGGAGGCAGCAGUAGGGAAUCUUCCGCAAUGGGCGAAAGCCUGACGGAGCAACGCCGCGUGAGUGAUGAAGGUCUUCGGAUCGUAAAACUCUGUUAUUAGGGAAGAACAAAUGUGUAAGUAACUAUGCACGUCUUGACGGUACCUAAUCAGAAAGCCACGGCUAACUACAUG